GCCAGGAUGGUAGAGCGGUCAAAUACACGACUCUGUAAAAGUCGCGCCUCACGGCUACGAAGGUUCGAAUCCUUCUCCUGGCA
rnacentral:tRNA from 1 species